GAUGAACGCUGGCGGCGUGCUUAACACAUGCAAGUCGAACGAGAAUCUGCGGAUAGAGGAUUCGUCCAAUUGAAGCAGAGGAAAGUGGCGGACGGGUGAGUAACGCGUGAGGAACCUGCCUAGGAGUGGGGAAUAACAGUCCGAAAGGACUGCUAAUACCGCAUAAUGCAGUUGGGUCGCAUGACUCUGACUGCCAAAGAUUUAUCGCUCUUAGAUGGCCUCGCGUCUGAUUAGCUAGUUGGUAGGGUAACGGCCUACCAAGGCGACGAUCAGUAGCCGGACUGAGAGGUUGGCCGGCCACAUUGGGACUGAGACACGGCCCAGACUCCUACGGGAGGCAGCAGUGGGGAAUAUUGGGCAAUGGGCGCAAGCCUGACCCAGCAACGCCGCGUGAAGGAAGAAGGCUUUCGGGUUGUAAACUUCUUUUAUUCAAGGGACGAAAACAAAAUAGACGGUACCUGAUGAAUAAG
rnacentral:rRNA from 1 species